UAAUAGCGGAGCCGAGGAGUGYUCUGCUCAGUUGAGGCAGAGGAAAGAACAUCUUAGGGAGCACCGACUCGUAGGAAAGGAGAUGGCCAUUAAUAGAUUACAAAUAUACAUGUAAAGCAUUUUUCGACUAUUCUUGGAUAUAAGGAGCACCAGGGUCCCCUCGCCACCCCUCCACCCCCGCCCUUGGCCCCCAUGCCCCUCACCCUCUAACCCCCUCCUCCAGAGGUAAGGGCCUCAGUGUGUGUUCUCUCCCCUCCUCUACCCACCCCAGCAGCGGACACACAACACAAGCGUCUCCCCGGCUUCCGCUUCCUCCGCGCUGCUGCACCACUGCUGGAGUAUUCACGCUCCAGGCUGUUUUCUUUGAGAGACUAUAAAAAUAUGCAAAUGGCUAUUGUUAAGAGCGAAAAGUAGAGGGUAUUUUUCUCCCCGUACGCCGCUUGUGUUCCUGGUGAGUAUAAUGUGCAGAGAGGGCUGAGGGGUUUCCUUCAGUCUUUAGUCUCUCUCUCACACACACAGACUCACAAAGACAGAGCUGGAGAUGACCAGGUACAGAGGCAGGAUAUUAGAAAUAUUCUCUCAGGAAGCCAUUGUCUCUUUCCAUUGUGGUCAUAUUUGUAAGAGAAUAUGACCACAUCUGUGUAAGAGAGAGAGAGAGAGAAAGAGAAAGAGAGAGAGAAAGAGGGAGAGAGAGAGAGAUAGAGAGAGAGAGAGAGAGAGAGAGAGGUAUUAGGAUGAAAUCCAAGCUACACCACGGGUAGUAGCAGCUAGGAAGUCAGGCCUUUAUAUAAAGUCCCUGAGCAGAGAGAGAGAGAGAGUGAGUGAGAUAGAGAGAGAGAGAGAAGAGAGAGUGAGUGAGAUAGAGAGUGUGAGAGAAGAGAGAGGGAAAGUUAGUAAGGAGCCACAUUUGUAAAGCCCUCACGGUCUCAAGCAGGAAGACUUUUUGAAGUGAUUAUGGAGACAGUUCAGAUCAAAGGAUUUGACAAGUCUGAGUGCUCGCCAAAUAGGAGCCGGGCUAAUCACGCUGAAGCCCUCCGUACAAGACACCACUGGUCCCUCCAGCUGCUUUGCAAAUGUAACGUGACACUCAGGGAUAAACAGAUUAUCAGGGGACAUAAGAGAAAAAAAAUCCUCUCAGACUAGUAGAAGUGAAAUAGUUUAUUUAAUGAACUUGGAGACUACCAAUGUACUGUAUAUGGUGGUGUGUAAUAAUAAAUCAUUUUCUGUAAAGUCGUAUUGACCUAAUUUACAUAUUUUUAUACUAGUUCUAUGUUACAUGAAGGAAGGGUAGUUGUUAUGUAGGAUGAUAUUUAGCUUUUUCCCCCAAAAAAUUGUAUAAUCCAUAGGCCUAAUCUUCCAAACMCCUCCAGACAUUUGAAACGUCAGCUCAGGGACAUUCUCAAAGUGUCUUUCCUGCAGUCAUUCUCUUUCAAUGUUGUCAUAAUGUGAUAUCAUAAAUAUAGAGUAAAUUCAUAUGAACAAUUUCCCUUUAUUUCCCUCUUACUUUCACAAAAAUAUUUUAUUUGAUUCUAUUUUCAGUUGUAUCUUAUGCURCAUUCUAUCAUGACCAAGAUCAUGUAGAAAUCACAUUUCAAAAUAAUUUACAAUUGGCUGAGAUAUUUUGCACACAAAGUGUGUACCUGUAAAUUAAAUAAUGCAUAUGUAAAUAUGUACCAUGCAAACCCAAUAGACAGAACAGCCAAACCCUAUGUGUGUCUCUUGUGUCAUGUCACUGGUGACCAGCCGUGUCAUUCCCAAGUGAUCCACUGAGUUCUCUGGGCCAGGGAGUGUCCAGCUGUCCAGUCCACUGAGUUCUCUGGGCCAGGGAGUGUCCAGCUGUCCAGCUGUCCAACCAGGGGCCCUCUCCUCUGAGUGACAUCCAUCACCAACAGAGCCCUGUGGUUCUGGACAUCCUGGACUCUGGAGAGCCCUCGGACAAACGGACCAUUCAGGAGGGACGGACAGAUGGAACGGUGUCACGAACAGACACUGGACAAUGAGGAGGUUGUUGUGUUGGCUAGCAGCACAGAUGAUCUGUUUUAUCUCACAAGUCCAGCGCUUCAAGCKGAACAUCCUGCACCCUUCGCCAUGAUCAAGCAAAGAGAGAGAGGGGAAAAGGAGGGAGGGACAGGGAGUGUGGUGAGGGGACAGAAAGAGGGGAGGUUCAGGGUCCAUACUUCAACUCAACACAGUUGCUAUAAUUGAUAUGUUAUUCAACUACAUACCACUGCUGCCUGGACCGACUUACUGCUCUGCAACUACAGGCUACUACGUUGAUCCACAACAACCAUCAUCCUCUCUUAACCACAUUGAUCAUUACAGUUAUCUGCUUUUUACAUUUUUUAUAGACUGCUCACCAGAACCUGGACGUCUGCCUCCAGAAAAACAAUCCUGGGAGCACAACUCGUAUUCAUAUAUUAUGUGGAAUAAAGUAAAGAAGAAAAUAAAGAACCUUCCUCCACACAACCGCCUAUUCCUCAGUGCCACCCUGACCCCGCCCUAUAUGUCCAGUAUGUCUAUUUGAUUGGUCACCRUGUAGGGCAGACUGCUAUUGAUUGGUCGGUCGUUAGGAGCGACUGGCAGAGCUGACACGGGUCGUAACAUGACGUGGUCGUAACAUCUGACCGCUCUUUAACCACCAGCCAUCAACUGACCAAUCCAGCCAUUGACCCCAGUCAUCCCAGCGGUGCCCUGGCAGCAGAUCARUACUAGACUGCUGUGGAGGCURGGACAGCUAAUAACAGUAAUGUGCCUGUUCAGUCUAGAGAUGACUCUUUAUUUUGACUGUUGAGGGGAAAACAGAUACAUCACAUUGACAUACUGUAAGUAAUAAUUGAUCAUUAAUAAAUGAGUAACAAUUAUGA